CAGGACUUUGAUGCAAUUCUACCGUUCUGUACGAGCGCUUUUUCAAACUCACCGCGAAUCCAGGGAACAUCGACCCCCUCCCGACAUAUUCCAGACCCCAACAGGCAACGAUUAACUGUGGCCCAAGUACACUGCUCAGAAUCAAGCCCACCCGAAAACUACUGUUGGGCCGGGAACUUGCUGCUUCACGAGCCGGCGCUCCAGGGACAAGACUGCCCGGAGACAGACCCAGCAGAAUCUGGAACGCUAGAGGGAAAAAGUCACACACCCCCGGUUUCGGCGAUUCGUCACAACAAGCGCCAAAAAAGCAGAGACUCCGCACCGGCGAAAAACGGCACAGACGACCACAUAAAUCUAGAGCUGGGGGAUUCCGGCGCCCCGAGCAUUCCGAAUGAAACACCCAAGAGACCUUUUUUUUUUAAUGACAUG